UACGGAGGGAGCUAGCGUUGUUCGGAUUUACUGGGCGUAAAGAGCGCGUAGGCGGUUAGGCAAGUCAGAUGUGAAAACCACCGGCUCAACCGGUUGGAUUGCACUUGAUACUGCCUUACUUGAGUUCAGAAGAGGGGAGCGGAAUUCCCAGUGUAGCGGUGGAAUGCGUAGAUAUUGGGAAGAACACCAGUGGCGAAGGCGGCUCCCUGGACUGAUACUGACGCUGAGGCGCGAAAGCUAGGGGAGCAAACAGGAUUAGAUACCCCCGUA
rnacentral:rRNA from 1 species